UGUCUCAAGUGUUCUAGAUGAACGUGUCUCAAGUGUUCUAGAUGAACAUGUCCUUGUUCAUCUAGAACACUUGAGACUUGUUCAUCUAGAACACUUGAGA
rnacentral:pre_miRNA from 1 species